AUUGAACGCUGGCGGCAGGCUUAACACAUGCAAGUCGAGCGGGGGAGGUUGCUUCGGUAACUGACCUAGCGGCGGACGGGUGAGUAAUGCUUAGGAAUCUGCCUAUUAGUGGGGGACAACAUCUCGAAAGGGAUGCUAAUACCGCAUACGUCCUACGGGAGAAAGCAGGGGACCUUCGGGCCUUGCGCUAAUAGAUGAUCCUAAGUCGGAUUAGCUAGUUGGUGGGGUAAAGGCCUACCAAGGCGACGAUCUGUAGCGGGUCUGAGAGGAUGAUCCGCCACACUGGGACUGAAACACGGGCCAGACUCGUACGGGAGGCAGCAGUGGGGAAUAUUGGACAAUGGGGGGAACCCUGAUCCAGCCAUGCCGCGUGUGUGAAGAAGGCCUUUUGGUUGUAAAGCACUUUAAGCGAGGAGGAGGCUACUGGUAUUAAUACUACCGGAUAGUGGACGUUACUCGCAGAAUAAGCACCGGCUAACUCUGUGCCAGCCGCCGCCGUAACAC
rnacentral:rRNA from 1 species